UACGUAGGUGGCAAGCGUUGUCCGGAAUCAUUGGGCGUAAAGAGCGCGCAGGCGGCUUGGCAAGUCGGGUGUGAAAUCCCGGGGCUCAACCCCGUGACUGCAUCCGAUACUGUCAGGCUAGAGGUAGGUAGGGGAGAUCGGAAUUCCUGGUGUAGCGGUGAAAUGCGCAGAUAUCGGGAGGAACACCAGUGGCGAAGGCGAGUCUCUGGGAUGAUGCUGACGCUGAGGCGCGAAAGCCAGGGGAGCAAACGGG
rnacentral:rRNA from 1 species